AUCCUGGCUCAGAUUGAACGCUGGCGGCAUGCCUUACACAUGCAAGUCGAACGGCAGCACGGGAGCAAUCCUGGUGGCGAGUGGCGAACGGGUGAGUAAUAUAUCGGAACGUGCCCAGUCGUGGGGGAUAACGUAGCGAAAGCUACGCUAAUACCGCAUACGAUCUAAGGAUGAAAGCGGGGGAUUCGCAAGAACCUCGCGCGAUUGGAGCGGCUGAUAUCAGAUUAGGUUGUUGGUGAGGUAAAAGCUCACCAAGCCGACGAUCUGUAGCUGGUUUGAGAGAACGACCAGCCACACUGGGACUGAGACACGGCCCAGACUCCUACGGGAGGCAGCAGUGGGGAAUUUUGGACAAUGGGCGAAAGCCUGAUCCAGCAAUGCCGCGUGCAGGAAGAAGGCCUUCGGGUUGUAAACUGCUUUUGUACGGAACGAAAAGGCUCUUUCUAAUAAAGAGGGCCCAUGACGGUACCGUAAGAAUAAGCACCGGCUAACUACGUG
rnacentral:rRNA from 1 species